AACAGAGUAGAGGACAAAGCGUUAAGUGUCAUAAGAGAUGGGAUGUUGCUCUAUGAACGAAGAAUAAGUAUUCGCGGUUUUGCCCUCGCAUUCGCUGCA
rfam:Enterococcus thailandicus strain F0711D 46 Ent-16_S35_L001_001_6, whole genome shotgun sequence.